CUUAUUUUUCUAUAAUAUAUUACUACUCCCCACACUAUUUAUUGAAACAUCAAAAAAUAUAGUAAUGGCGAUAAAAACCUUAUUUAUUAAAUUAAAGUACCGCGAGGGAAAUAUAAACUAGAAAAAAGUAGUCGUCAAGACGUACUUUUUGUAUCACGACUUAGCAAGAGCAAACUAGAAAUACUAAGUUCUCGAAAUCUAACGAGCUAUUUUGUUUUGGUUUAUUAGAGCCCUACCUUUAGAUGUAGUAAAAUCUAAGAAAUAAAUAAAAAUAGAGAUGAAAUUUCAUUCGCGUUAGUGAUAGCUAGUUCUCCUUGAAAAAUAUAAAAGUAUUGAAGCGGAUAGAAGUUAGAUAGGUUAAUUCUCAACCUCUAACUAUUCCCGAGAUUCACUUGUUUGAGGAUAAGCUCAGGCAAAACUUUGAGAACAAUAUAUACAUUUUAUUUCUGUGUGGGCUUAAGAUUGGCCAUCAUAAAAAGUUUGUUAUAAAAUAGUCUAAAAAUUUUGAAAAAUCAAUAUAUUAAAUUUCCAACGAAGAAAUAAGGGAGUAUUAUCAACUUAAAACUAAUUAGGCUAAACACCCAUGCUAAGAUGAGUAUUAUACUAAAACAUAAUUCGAAAAAAAAAUAAAAAUUUUUCUCUAGACUCCAUUAAGUUUACUAGUAAGCUAAAUGCUUAGAAGGAACUCGGCAAGAACUUGCUUCGCCUGUUUAUCAAAAACAUGGCUCNNNNNNNNNNNNNNNNNNNNNNNNNNCGAGCCUGCCCAGUGAGAAUUUCAACGGCCGCGGUACUCUGACCGUGCAAAGGUAGCAUAAUCAUUUGCCUUAUAAUUGAAGGCUAGUAUGAAUGGUUUGACGAAAGCAAAUCUGUCUCCUUUUUACUACUUAGAACUUAACCUUUAGGUGAAGAGGCCUAAAUAUUAUUGAAGGACAAGAAGACCCUGUCGAGCUUAAAAGAAUAUGUAGAAGUCAAUAUAUCUUAAAAUAAAUAAUCUACUAAGCUUUUUAGUUGGGGCGACUAAGGAACAAGGAAAGCUUCUUAAUCAAAAAAAACCAACAAGUUUAGAUCCAGCCAGUCUGAUCAAAGAAAUUAGUUACCGCAGGGAUAACAGCAUAAUCUCUCUUGAGAGACCUAAUCGAAAGAGGGGGUUGUGACCUCGAUGUUGGACUAGAAUAUCCUAAAGAUGCAGAAGUCUUUAAGGGUUGGUCUGUUCGACCAUAAAAAUUCUACGUGAUCUGAGUUCA
rnacentral:rRNA from 1 species